AUUGAACGCUGGCGGAAUGCUUUACACAUGCAAGUCGAACGGCAGCACGGGGGCAACCCUGGGGGCGAGUGGCGAACGGGUGAGUAAUACAUCGGAACGUGCCCAGUCGUGGGGGAUAACGUAGCGAAAGUUACGCUAAUACCGCAUACGAUCUACGGAUGAAAGCGGGGGACCGUACGGCCUCGCGCGAUGGGAGCGGCCGAUGUCAGAUUAGGUAGUUGGUGAGGUAAAGGCUCACCAAGCCGACGAUCUGUAGCUGGUCUGAGAGGACGACCAGCCACACUGGGACUGAGACACGGCCCAGACUCCUACGGGAGGCAGCAGUGGGGAAUUUUGGACAAUGGGCGCAAGCCUGAUCCAGCCAUUCCGCGUGCAGGACGAAGGCCUUCGGGUUGUAAACUGCUUUUGUACGGAACGAAAAGGCUCUGGUUAAUACCUGGGGCUCAUGACGGUACCGUAAGAAUAAGCACCGGCUAACUACGUGCCAGCCGCCGCAGUAA
rnacentral:rRNA from 1 species